GCUCGCUUCUGCCCGCAGCAACCGGUUCCCACGAGCCCUGGGGCGGUUUUGAGACUGGAGGCGGGAGUGGGUUGGACGCGCGUCCCGGCUCCUGAGACCCAGCUGGAGUUUCAGAAUGCUCUCUACCUAGCUGCCUCCUCAACAGUGACAGUCGGGAAAAUGUGACCAUCACUGCGUCAGCAGAAAGCCGAGAAACCAUUGGUGAACCGUCCUGACAAACUCCAUGUUAUGGUGGAGCUUACAUUCUGGUGAAAAGUCAGCUUUUGGAGUUCCCGAGCUUCCUUCUUAAAUUUGCACGUGCCAAGAUAGUGAAGAAGAGACCAGAGAAGGUACAUCUGGGAGAAAGAUGCUAGUGAAGACUAAGUGAGAGAGGAUACAUGGGGAAUGACUAACCAAGCAGGAGUUUCGGCAGGAGCUAACAGGCAAGUAGGAGCAAGUUCCGGAAAGGGCCACACCUGCUAAGAAAAGGAGCAACUCCUUCAUCCGGGAACAAAGCAAGCUUAUCAUAAAAGACAACAUCUGCAAAGCUAGUUGAGAGGAAGAAACAGGUCACCGAUGGACCCCGAGGCUCCUGCCAGCCCUGACAAUCUCCUAUUUCAAGCAGGCAUCGAAUAAAUAUUUGC